AGUGAACGCUGGCGGUAGGCCUAACACAUGCAAGUCGAACGGCAGCACAGUAAGAGCUUGCUCUUACGGGUGGCGAGUGGCGGACGGGUGAGGAAUACAUCGGAAUCUACUUUUUCGUGGGGGAUAACGUAGGGAAACUUACGCUAAUACCGCAUACGACCUACGGGUGAAAGCAGGGGAUCUUCGGACCUUGCGCGAUUGAAUGAGCCGAUGUCGGAUUAGCUAGUUGGCGGGGUAAAGGCCCACCAAGGCGACGAUCCGUAGCUGGUCUGAGAGGAUGAUCAGCCACACUGGAACUGAGACACGGUCCAGACUCCUACGGGAGGCGGCAGUGGGGAAUAUUGGACAAUGGGCGCAAGCCUGAUCCAGCCAUACCGCGUGGGUGAAGAAGGCCUUCGGGUUGUAAAGCCCUUUUGUUGGGAAAGAAAAGCAGCAGGUUAAUACCCCGCUGUUCUGACGGUACCCAAAAAAUAAGCACCGGCUAACUUCGUG
rnacentral:rRNA from 1 species